CCUUACCUGGCCUUGACAUACUAAGAACUUUCCAGAGAUGGAUUGGUGCCUUCGGGAACUUAGAUACAGGUGCUGCAUGGCUGUCGUCAGCUCGUGUCGUGAGAUGUUGGGUUAAGUCCCGCAACGAGCGCAACCCUUUUCCUUAUUUGCCAGCGGGUAAUGCCGGGAACUUUAAGGAUACUGCCAGUGACAAACUGGAGGAAGGCGGGGACGACGUCAAGUCAUCAUGGCCCUUACGGCCAGGGCUACACACGUGCUACAAUGGUCGGUACAAAGGGUUGCUACCUCGCGAGGGGAUGCUAAUCUCAAAAAGCCGAUCGUAGUCCGGAUCGCAGUCUGCAACUCGACUGCGUGAAGUCGGAAUCGCUAGUAAUCGCGGAUCAGAAUGCCGCGGUGAAUACGUUCCCGGGCCUUGUACACACCGCCCGUCACACCAUGGGAGUUUGUUGCACCAGAAGUAGGUAGUCUAACCGCAAGGAGGACGCUUACCACGGUGUGGCCGAUGACUGGGGUGAAGUCGUAACAAGGUAGGCGUAGAUGA
rnacentral:rRNA from 1 species